AUCGGUCGCCCCCUCCCUCUAAGGGAUGGGGCGGAAAAUGGCCUCCCGUGCGCAAACGCGUGCGGCCGGCCCAAAUCUGAUCCCGCGUCGACGGAUGUCGCGACAAGUGGUGGUUGAACUAUCAACUCGCGUGUUGUCGUCGUGACUGGCUCCGUUGAUGCUCUGGCAUCUUUUUGACCCAACGGUGCCUAAUCGCGCUUUCGACC
rnacentral:misc_RNA from 1 species